CGCAGCCUGAUCCAGCCAUACCGCGUGGGUGAAGAAGGCCUUCGGGUUGUAAGCCCUUUUGUUGGGAAAGAAAAGCCGUCGGUUAAUACUCGAUGGUCCUGACGGUACCGAAAGAAUAAGCACCGGCUAACUUCGUGCCAGCAGCCGCGGUAAU
rnacentral:rRNA from 1 species